UUAAAAAGCUCGUAGUUGGAUCUCAACAGCCUUGAAGCGGUUAACUUUGUAGUUUUACUGCUUUAUAGGCUGUGCUUUUGCUGGAGGUUUAGGGGUGCUCUUGAUCGAGUGUCUCUGGAUGCCAGCAGGUUUACUUUGAAAAAAUUAGAGUGCUCAAAGCAGGCUAAAAUGCCUGAAUAUUCGUGCAUGGAAUAAUAGAAUAGGAUGUCGAUCCUAUUUUGUUGGUUUUCGGGACUCGACAUAAUGAUAAAUAGGGACAGUCGGGGGCA
rnacentral:rRNA from 1 species